UUUCUUCUUAUUACUUUUAGUUUUGAUUGAUUUUCUGUGCUCUGCAAGUUGUGUGUGCUUUAAGAUUGAACUGUCUGCAAUGCCAAUGUCAGAAGCAAGCAGCCACAGCCAGCUCUGACAAAAUCACAAACUAAAAGCUGAGUUAUUUUCGUGCGGAACGCAUACAAAAAAAUCAAUUGUAUUCAACCCCAAAACGCACUCACAUGACACAUGUCAAAAACAAGUAGAGAGAAAAAAAAAAUCUAUUUGGAAACGAGAGAAAAAAUAAAAGUGUCAUAAGGCAUUUGGGUGCGCGACAGGCUCGCAAGUCGAACUCCAGAUGGAGUCGAGCGCUACCAUAUAAAACUGUCAGUUUUAAUAACUAAACACAUCAGCAACAACAAAGGCCAGAAGAAGAAGAAGAAGAACAACAACAACAAGUGCACUUCACAAGAUGCACUUCUGCGAAGUUGUUGUUUCUGUGUCGUGUGUCGCAGCAUUCGUCAAUGGGCCGGGCAACGCCGACCGCCCCGGCAGAGAGUAGUCUGUCUGUACCCCAACCCAGCCCCUAGCCGUGCCCCUGCAUUUGCCCCCGGGCACUCGACUUCUGCUCCACACUGUCCCGCUGACAGAUUACAGCUGCGAUAAAGCCCCCGGGGCGCAGCGACUCGAAUAUAUUUUCUCAACUUUUGUCUCUAUAGGAACUUGUCUUUCGGGUUUAUUUACUCGAGUUUUUAAUUAAAAGUAAAGCAAGUAAAAUGCUGAUAACUUUUCUAUCUCUCUCUCUAAAUUCUUUAUUUAAUCUUCCGCCUUUUCCGCUCGCCUCGUAAAUAUAUCAAAAUUUAUUUUUAUUUUCGUACAUCGUUCAAAUGGAAUAGAAAACUGUUGCAUGACUUGGAGUUGAUUUGGGGUCGCGUCGCCUAUUGAUAAUCUCUGGCAAUUAGGUUUCAAGAAAUUUAUGUUUAUAUGCAGCGACUGAUAGCUGAGUUCUUUAUGAGUUCAGUUCGAGAAGAACCUACAACUAAAACUAUAACUAAAACUGUAAGUCUGGGCGAAAACUUUGCACCUUGGUUCCUUGGCCAACAAUAACAAAAAGCCAACACUCAAGUUGGCUGUGGUUGUGGCUGCCGCAAUUGUGUCAACGUUGGCGUGAAAAUCCAUUAGAACUGAACUAUGUCAAUCGAUUGAAACAAACGAAUGCAGAAUGUGUAAAGCCCAAACAGCGCGACGCAACAAAACAAAACAAACUUUCAGAUGCAUAAAGAGCAUAAAAAUGCACACACAGAUACAUAUGCUUAUGGCUGUAAAUACAUUAUCGUAGCUGCUCUGAGGUACUUGGGGGCAGGCAUGAAUUAUUUAGCUGUCAGCCACCCAAAUGCAUUUCUAAUGCUCGCAACCAAGAGUGCAAAUGAAAUUUACGCUCUUGGAAUUUGGCCUCAACUUAGUUAGUUCCACUUCCCACUUCGCCCCAGUCUAAUUGAGUGACCGACCUCAGCUCAAAUUCUAGUUACAGUCCGAUAUAUCCACUCUUCAGGUGGAACGCACGUGCAGCUUUGGGUAGUUAAUUCUUUGUUAUUUUCGUUGUUUGGCUAGUCUUAAGUGGCUUUGGGUCGCAGUCUUACAAAAUUCAACAACAAAAACGAGGGAAACAAUAACAACAUUAAAUUAAUUUCAAUUGAAUUUAAUUGACAUACAUCGAGACAAACAUGAACGGAAACUAGGCCCAGGCACUGCAGUGAGCCAAUCCAUCAAAAUUUAAAUAGCUUUUUGAGAAUUGAAGUGGGGCAAACAUUGAUUUGCCUUAAAAGGUCAAAUUGAACAGAUAAAUUAUAUUAAUCGUAUUGGUAUUAUACAAAUGGAUCUUUUAUAAA